UGAUUUGUAGUUUAUGGAUUCAUUGCUGAGACCAUUUAACGAAAAACAGGCAAAAUGUCAAUAAGCUUCAUCCUCUUCAGGGUUGCAGUGGGUCUAAUUUACUGGAUAGAAGAUAGGAAACACCCUAGAGAGGAGGAAACCAGAGCACCCGGAGGAAACCCAACACAGACACGGGACAACAUGCAAACUCCACACAGAAAGGACCCAGACAGCUCCACCAGGGAACUGAACCCAGGGCCUUCUUGUGAGGCGACAGUGCUACCCACUGUGCCAUUGUGCCGCCCUGUAUUUUAAAGCAGUAUAAAUUAUCUCCUCUCACUCAAAGAAGACUGUAAGUUAUGUAUUUUACAGUAUUUCAUGUAGGGUGACUAUUCGCUAUGCGGGUUGUUUUUCACAAGAGUUUUCGUUUGUUUUGGCUUAAUUUGCCCUAAAGGUAAUUCGUAAGUCUGCUUGAAAGUCUCAAAGAGUCGAUUCAAAUUAACCGACUCAUUGUCAAACUUUAUAAUUACUCAACACAGGAGUGCGUGUACAGGCGCGUGCUCUCAAAGGAUGAAAACUUGCUCAUACUAUUCAUUUAGACGGAAAAUAUUCAGAACUUCCCAUUACAAAUGUUCCCUUUUUAACCUCUGAGCAGUAGGAGGUUCUUUUGCGAUGUGCAGGCUGUCAGUCAGAAAUGGGCUGGUGAAUAAACAGCGAGUAUGAAGUGAAAACAUGUUUUGUUGUUGUUUCUAUUUGAACAAAACUAGGAGGUUUGUGUUAUAACAGGACCAACACGUUCUGUAUCGGUUAUUCUCUCGUUAAACGUGUUCAUUUGAUCACAGCAGUUGGAUCUCCCGCUGAUACACACCCCCUGCGUACGUCACUUCUGGCCAAUCAGAGCGGAGCUGGCAGGCAUUUCUGGUGCUCGUGUCUGAGAGAGAGAGAGAACUCCUCUCUCCUGCCUGAAUGCUCUACAAACCGAAGGCUUAAGAGAAGCCUGCUGGAAGGAGAAAAAGCCUAGUAAUGGCGGUUGUAUUAAAUAGAUUGACGUCACCAAUGAGGCAAUUACUGAACAUUUAUGGUUCUAUCAAAACACUUAGGUUCCCAUUCCUGGAUGUGUUAUGUUUCUUUAGUGAUCUAAUAUGUUAAAACAUAAAAGUAGAAAGGGGGCAAUUACUGUUCUAUACCAUUGUAUAUAUGUAUUAAAACAUGUUCCUUUUUAUGUUUUACUUUUUCUUUAAAUAUAAACUUGUUUUGCUACUUGGUAAAAAUAGGUAGACCUCGAAGGUUUACUGACUGUAGUCUACCCUUUUGCUAUGCAUAAAUUGUGCAUAAAUUGCUAUGCAUAAAUCUUCUGGCCAUCAUUAAAGUAA